rnacentral:rRNA from 1 species
UACGGGGGGGGCAAGCGUUGUUCGGAAUUACUGGGCGUAAAGGGUUCGUAGGUGGCCAACUAAGUCAGACGUGAAAUCCCUCAGCUUAACUGGGGAACUGCGUCUGAUACUGGUUGGCUUGAAUCCGGGAGAGGGAUGUGGAAUUCCAGGUGUAGCGGUGAAAUGCGUAGAUAUCGAGAGGAACACCAGAGGUGAAGACGGGUUGCUGGGCCGACACUGACGCUGAUAGCGCGAAAGCCAGGGGAGCAAACGGG